CUACCUGCAGUCGCACGAGAAAGGGAGCAAUCCUAAGUAAAGUGGCGCACGGGUGAGUAACACGUGGAUCAUCUACCUUUUAGUGGGGAAUACCUCUGGGAAACCGGAGACAAUACCGCAUAAGCCCGCAAGGGGAGAGCAGCAAUGCGCUGAAAGAGGAGUCCGCGGCCGAUUAGCUAGUUGGCGGGGUAACGGCCCACCAAGGCGAAGAUCGGUAGCCGGCCUGAGAGGGCACACGGCCACACUGGUACUGAAACACGGGCCAGACUCCUACGGGAGGCAGCAGUGGGGAAUCUUGCACAAUGGGCGAAAGCCUGAUGCAGCGACGCCGCGUGAGCGAUGAAGCCCUUCGGGGUGUAAAGCUCUUUCGACGGGAACGAUAAUGACGGUACCCGGAGAAGAAGCUGCGGCUAACUACGUGCCAGCAGCCGCGGUAAUACGUAGGCAGCGAGCGUUGUUCGGAAUUACUGGGCGUAAAGAGUGUGUAGGCGGUGUUCCCAGUCUGUUGUGAAAUCUCCCGGCUUAACUGGGAGGGUGCAGCGGAAACUAGAAUGCUAGAGGGUGGGAGAGGUAAGCGGAAUUCCUGGUGUAGCGGUGAAAUGCGUAGAUAUCAGGAGGAACACCUGUGGUGUAGACAGCUUACUGGACCACUUCUGACGCUGAGACACGAAAGCGUGGGUAGCAAACAGGAUUAGAUACCCUGGUAGUCCACGCCCUAAACGAUGCAUACUUGGUGUGAGCGAUUCAUUUCGUUCGUGCCGGAGCUAACGCGUUAAGUAUGCCGCCUGGGGAGUACGGUCGCAAGGCUGAAACUCAAAGGAAUUGACGGGGGCCCGCACAAGCGGUGGAG
rnacentral:rRNA from 1 species